UAAGCAGAUACGAAUCUAUGAUUUUGGUCCUUGGUCUCAACAUUAAAGUACAAAGCAUUCUAAAAAUAAUUCUAAAAAUGUUUUAAUCACAUACAAGUAUUUCUUUCUUUUUUAUCUCAGAAAAGAAAAACAAAAUAGUAACAGUCUCUCUCAACACAAAUAUUCAACAACACGUGACGGGUCACCCAAGGGCUCUGCCGAUUAGAAAUUAUUUGUGCUUCAGACACAGGGCUUGCUUGAUACAUCUUGGUUUUCCCAAAUGACCCAGAAUGUAACAUAAUCUUGCUCAGUUUCUCAUUGAUACUCCCGCUUUGUCCCCAGUGCAACAUAGAAACAGUACAUACCUCACAUAAAUAGCUUAUGCAUUGCCAAACAAUGCACUGUCCUUAAAUCUAACUCACAGUAUAACCUUAGUAGAGACAAAUUCACAUAAUACAUAGUACAAGUCAUUUAACAUUGACACUCUUUGCUUCACAUUUGGAAAGCUUACAGAAUUUGUGUGUGUAAGUUUUUCAAAUGCAAG